AAAAAAAAUGGGCGCAACGCCCAUCUUCUUGAAACCGAGGUCGCAUCUGGGCGGCAAAACGAAACUGCGGAAACUGCGUGCCCAGCGACUUUGUGAUUUUAGCUAUUU
rnacentral:sRNA from 1 species